AGACCUCCCGGCUCGACAGGCGGCGCGGGCGGCGAAUUAUAAAUGUGUUUGUGUGGCUGUUUGAUCUCAAAGCAAUGCUCAGAAGAUGCAGUGUCUCGAAAUCCCAGAAGAUAAGAUGUUACCACAUGAAAGAUGGUCUCAAUAAAGGGGGAGAGGCGGUGGCCGAGGCCUUAAUUUCCAAAACGAGAAACUGGGGCCCACCCAUCUUUUAAAGGUCGUCAAAAGAAAGCUCCCAUCCUCCCAUCCCCCACACCUGUGUGUUGACUCUGUAAAGAUGCAGUUUCCUCACUUUGGGAGGAGAGGCCGUGGUUUUUGCAGGAAUUGCGCCGCUGCCGAAUUCAGCCAUUGCCUCUUGGAGGUUUAGGAUGCCCCAGGCCUUGUUUUCCCUCAAAGCAUUCCAUUGGCAAUCACGACCAACCAUGCUCCUUGAGGAUUUCUGUACACACUGGCUUUUCCUGGUCUUGUAAAAUGUCGGUUCCAGGACCUUACCAGGCGGCCACUGGGCCUUCCUCAGCACCAUCCGCACCUCCAUCCUAUGAAGAGACAGUGGCUGUUAACAGUUAUUACCCCACACCUCCAGCUCCCAU
rnacentral:lncRNA from 1 species